AUGAUGAUGUCACACAUUCUCCUGCUGGGCACCCUGGGGCUCCUUGUUCAGGAUUCAUCAGGAGAAAAAACUCUGACUCAGUCUCCUGGAUCUCAGUCUGUUAGUCCAGGACAGACUGUCUCUAUCAGAUGUAAAGCCAGUUCAAGUGUUGGUAGCAACCUCCACUGGUACCUUCAGAAACCUGGAGAAGCUCCUAAACUCCUGAUUAAAUAUGCCACAAACCUUCAGUCUGGAGUUUCAAGUCGUUUUAGUGGAAGUGGAUCUGGGACUGACUUCACUCUGACCAUCAGUGGAGUCCAGGCUGAAGAUUCAGGAGUUUACUACUGUCAGCAUGAUAACGGCUACCCAUUCACACAGUGA